UGGCUUGAGGGCAGAGGUCAUGUGAAGAUUGAACAAAUAAAGGAAGCAGAACUAAGUGCAUAUCGCACACAGUUGAUGUGAGCCAAGUCCCGUAUGAGAGUAAAAACAGCUAGAGCCAAGGACACAUUGUCCUUGGCUCCAAGGUGUUAUCAAUGAUUAGUCCUGGGAACUUGCGGGUGAUGUAAUGCAGAAGUUGCUGGGUAAACCAAGUUGCUGUUACCAAUAAGGAGCUCAGCUUUUGCAAUAUGUAUGAGCCUGAUUAGUCCUAUACUAUAUAAAGAAAGACCACGCCUAAUAAAGUUGAAGUACACUGAUCACUCAUAUUGAGCGUCUGGGUCUUCCCUCCGUCGGCUCCUCCCGUGCAAGUUUCCAACAAAUGGCGCCCGAACAGGGACCCUGCCGGUCAGGGACUCGGUGAUUAAAAACUCAGGAGUCGACAGAGUGCUAGAGACAGCUGGUCCUGCUGUGCUAAAGGCGACGAGACACAAAAGGGGGUCUACGUGCCAGAGUUACAGAGGAGGUGGAGAGGACACAAACAAAGGGGGUCCGUGCCCAGGACGAGACGGGGUCCUGCCAGAAAGUCUCGCCGCAGGUCUUGCAAAGGUUGCAACGAUACUGUCGCUGUUUGGGAUGUUGUGUCGGAUUACAUCAUGAAGCAGCUGAUGCUGGACAAGGCUGUCCUGAGAGCAGGGCUCGGCACCUUCUGCGUGGUCCAAGAGCAAUUGCAGCGGCGCAGAGGCAAGGUGCUGACCAUUCGAAAACUCAUCUUCCACCUGGGCAUGGACGUGGACUGGCUUCAGGGACUCAGGCGCCCCACAGUGACUCUCCCUGAGGGUCUUGCUGGGAAGCACCUCCAUUCCUGAGGACACGUUCAGCCAAAGCUGAUCUGUAACAUGGAGGUGACCGGAGAGGAGAGGAGAAAGGCCCAGACUGGAGUGCAUUGAAUGAGGUUUUUAAUGAGCAAGACCCUGUGCAAAGCAACAAAAGCAGCUGUCCCCAAAUCUGAAGAGCUUGCCCAGCAAAAGAAGGGAGAAGGCAGCUCUGAGGAGCUGCGGGAUGUAAGAGGUGAUGUAACAGCUCAC